rnacentral:rRNA from 1 species
AAUUCGGCUUAGAGUUUGAUCCUGGCUCAGAACGAACGCUGGCGGCAGGCUUAACACAUGCAAGUCGAGCGCCCCGCAAGGGGAGCGGCAGACGGGUGAGUAACGCGUGGGAAUCUACCCAUCCCUACGGAACAACUCCGGGAGACCGGAGCUAAUACCGUAUACGCCCUUUGGGGGAAAGAUUUAUCGGGGAUGGAUGAGCCCGCGUUGGAUUAGCUAGUUGGUGGGGUAAAGGCCUACCAAGGCGACGAUCCAUAGCUGGUCUGAGAGGAUGAUCAGCCACAUUGGGACUGAGACACGGCCCAAACUCCUACGGGAGGCAGCAGUGGGGAAUAUUGGACAAUGGGCGCAAGCCUGAUCCAGCCAUGCCGCGUGAGUGAUGAAGGCCUUAGGGUUGUAAAGCUCUUUCACGGUUGAAGAUAAUGNCGGUAACCGGA